rnacentral:lncRNA from 1 species
GAAGGUUUUUUCAAGCCAAAACUAAAUGAAGCAGGGUAUCCAAGUGGGUUUGUGAUAGGGAGAAACCACAAUUGAAUGGGGUUCGCUGGUCAUGUUGGGUGUUCUAUGUGGGCUUUGAUGUUGCGUGCAUGGUGUUCUUACUGGGACGAGCAGGGGAAUCUGGUUAGCAUGCUCCUUUAUCAGUCUUGGUUGGUUGACUACACUUUUUUGUCAAGUCCCUAAGAAAUGGGGAUGGUUGGGACCUUUUUUAUUUUGUUAUCCUAUACUGGUCUGGCUAGGUUUCUUUGGUGGAUUAGGGGAUUAGAAACGUGGCUUUGGCCUUCACAAGAUGUGUACGUCUUUGGUAACAGGCUUACUAUUGAAGUUAAUUUUUCUUGCGGGAAUUGUUGUGGUUGGAGGAAGUAUAAAAUAUGGAAUGCUUGGCUAGGAAGUAUCAUGAAAAGUGAAGACUUAGGUUGAACUUUUCAUAAGCGGGUAGAGCAAGAAGGUGGGACUGGCUGCAUUGAUGGAGCCCAUGUUAGUGCAGUGCCACUCCAAUACCGAACCAGCCAAGACACUUUGUUGAAGCUGGAAAGGCUUUUAGAACAGUAGGCUUGUUACUGCUGAAGCAUUGGGAAGGUGCUGAGGUGUAGGGAUUUGGGUGAUGUUUGGGAAGGAUGGAUUGUGCAAGCUGCUUGUACAGCUCUUCAUGAGAGCCGGUUCUGUUUUUGAGGGGCCAAUCUUUUUUCUGCUAUAUUGGACAAAUGGUCUCUGGUUUAUGCUUGCUAUUAUGAAUCCAAACUGAGGAAAACACUGCUUACCUUGUUGUUAAUCUGGGUGUAUUGUUUUUAUUUUCUGUUUUAUGUGUUUUUUAGACCUGUUGUUGUUAGUUUUGUAUAAGGGUUGGGACACCCCUGAAGUGUCU